UACGUAGGGUCCGAGCGUUGUCCGGAAUUACUGGGCGUAAAGAGCUCGUAGGUGGUUUGUCGCGUUGUUCGUGAAAACUCACAGCUUAACUGUGGGCGUGCGGGCGAUACGGGCAGACUUGAGUACUGCAGGGGAGACUGGAAUUCCUGGUGUAGCGGUGGAAUGCGCAGAUAUCAGGAGGAACACCGGUGACGAAGGCGGGUCUCUGGGCAGUAACUGACGCUGAGGAGCGAAAGCGUGGGGAGCGAACAGG
rnacentral:rRNA from 1 species